CCCAGUAUUCCCCAGUGUCUCCCAGUAAUGCCCAGUAACUCCCAGUAACACCCAGUAACUCUCCCAGUAACUCCCAGUAUCACCCCAGUAAUGCCCAGUAUAGCCCCAGUAACUCAGUGCCACCCAGUAUCACCCCAGUGCCCCCCCAGGAGCUCCCCCUGCCCCUCAAGUACCCUCCCAGUACCCUCCCAGUAUUCCCCAGUGUCUCCCAGUAAUGCCCAGUAACUCCCAGUAAUGCACAGUAUCGCCCCAGUAACCCCCAGUAUC
rnacentral:lncRNA from 1 species